GCAGUGCCAAUAUUAUCAAUUAUUAGUGUCUCUGCAACUUCAGUAUCUCUUAUUAUUCUAAUUCUACUAACUAUUCUCGAGUUCGCUGUCGCUCUUAUUCAAGCUUAUGUCUUCAUACUAUUAGUAAGUCUUUAUUUGCAUGAUAAUACAUAAUGACCCGCCAAACUCAUGCCUGCCAUAUAGCUGUACCUAGCCCUUGACCACUAACAGGAGCUCUCUCGGCUCUCCUAAUAACAUCUGGCCUGGCCAUAUGAUUUCACUUUAAUUCUACCACUCUUUUAACUUUAGGCGUGCUAACCAACACACUGACUAUACAUCAGUGAUGACGUGAUAUUGUCCGAGAAAGUAUAUUCCAAGGCCACCACACAACAAUUGUCCUAAAAGACCUCUGAUACGGGAUGCUCCUAUUUAUUAUCUCAGAAGUAUUCUUCUUCGCCGGUUUUUUCUGGGCAUUCUAUCACUCCAGUUUAGCACCGACCCCAGAAUUAGGAAGACAUUGACCCCCAACAGGUAUUCUUCCCCUGAACCCUUUAGAAGUAUCUCUCCUAAAUACGUCUGUAUUACUUGCAUCAGGAGUUUCAAUUACUUGAGCCCAUCACAGCCUAAUAGAAGGUAACCAAAAACAAAUAAUUCAAGCAGUACUUACCACGAUCCUCUUAGGAGUCUAUUUCACUCUUCUACAAGUCUCAGAAUAUUUCGAGGCCCCUUUAUUAUCUCUGAUGGAAUCUAUGGCUCAACAUUCUUUGUAGCCACAGGCUUUCAUGGACUUCAUGUUAUUAUUGGAUCAACAAUUCUCACCAUCUGCCUUCUUGCCAAUUAAAAUUUCAUUUU
rnacentral:lncRNA from 1 species